rnacentral:rRNA from 1 species
UAGGGAUUCUUCCGCAAUGGGCGAAAGCUUGACGGAGCAACGCCGCGUGAGUGAUGAAGGUCUUCGGAUCGUAAAACUCUGUUAUUAGGGAAGAACAAAUGUGUAAGUAACUAUGCACGUCUUGACGGUACCUAAUCAGAAAGCCACGGCUAACUACGUGCCAGCAGCCGCGGUAAUACGUAGGUGGCAAGCGUUAUCCGGACUUAUUGGGCGUAAAGCGCGCGUAGGCGGCUUUUUAAGUCUGAUGUGAAAGCCCACGGCUCAACCGUGGAGGGUCAUUGGAAACUGGAAAACUUGAGUGCAGAAGACGAAAGUUGAAUUCCAUGUGUAGCGGUGAAAUGCGCAGAGAUAUGGAGGAACACCAGUGGCGAAGGCGACUUUCUGGUCUGUAACUGACGCUGAUGUGCGAAAGCGUGGGGAUCAAACAGG